rnacentral:rRNA from 1 species
GACGAACGCUGGCGGCGUGCUUAACACAUGCAAGUCGAACGGUGAAGCUCCAGCUUGCUGGAGUGGAUCAGUGGCGAACGGGUGAGUAACACGUGAGCAACCUGCCCCUGACUCUGGAAUAAGCGCUGGAAACGGCGUCUAAUACUGGAUACGAGAAGGGUCCGCAUGGGCACUUUCUGGAAAGUUUUUCGGUUGGGGAUGGGCUCGCGGCCUAUCAGCUUGUUGGUGAGGUAAUGGCUCACCAAGGCGACGACGGGUAGCCGGCCUGAGAGGGCGACCGGCCACACUGGGACUGAGACACGGCCCAGACUCCUACGGGAGGCAGCAGUGGGGAAUAUUGCACAAUGGGCGAAAGCCUGAUGCAGCAACGCCGCGUGAGGGAUGACGGCCUUCGGGUUGUAAACCUCUUUCAGCAGGGAAGAAGCGAAAGUGACGGUACCUGCAGAAGAAGCACCGGCUAACUACGUG